AUUGAACGCUGGCGGCAGGCCUAACACAUGCAAGUCGAACGAGUGGCGGACGGGUGAGUAAUGUCUGGGAACCUGCCUGAUGGAGGGGGAUAACUACUGGAAACGGUAGCUAAUACCGCAUACAAUCAGAUGUGCCCAGAUGGGAUUAGCGAGUUGGUGGGGUAACGGCUCACCAAGGCGACGAUCCCUAGCUGGCCUGAGAGGAUGACCGGCCACACUGGAACUGGGACACGGCCCAGACUCCUACGGGAGGCAGCAGUGGGGAAUAUUGGACAAUGGGCGCAAGCCUGAUGCAGCCAUGCCGCGUGUAUGAAGAAGGUCUUCGGGUUGUAAAGUACUUUUGGCAGGGAGGCGUUCCCCGCCCAGGAAGCACCGGCUAACUCCGUGCCAGCAGCCGCGGUAAUAC
rnacentral:rRNA from 1 species